rnacentral:rRNA from 1 species
AGUGAACGCUGGCGGCAGGCCUAACACAUGCAAGUCGAACGGCAGCACAGUAAGAGCUUGCUCUUACGGGAGGCGAGUGGCGGACGGGUGAGGAAUACAUCGGAAUCUACUUUUUCGUGGGGGAUAACGUAGGGAAACUUACGCUAAUACCGCAUACGACCUACGGGUGAAAGCAGGGGAUCUUCGGACCUUGCGCGAGUGAAUGAGCCGAUGUCGGAUUAGCUAGUUUGCGGGGUAAAGGCCCACCAAGGCGACGAUCCGUAGCUGGUCUGAGAGGAUGAUCAGCCACACUGGCACUGAGACACGGUCCAGACUCCUACGGGAGGCAGCAGUCGGGAAUAUUGGCCAAUGGGCGCAAGCCUGAUCCAGCCAUACCGAGUGGGUGAGGAAGGCCUUCGGGUUGUAAAGCCCUUUUGUUCGGCAAGAAAAGCAGCAGGUUAAUACCCCGCUGUUCUGACGGUACCCAAAGAAUAAGCACGGGCUAACUUCGUG